rnacentral:rRNA from 1 species
GAGCAAACCUCAAAAAACCGUUCUCAGUUCGGAUUGAAGUCUGCAACUCGACUUCAUGAAGUCGGAAUCGCUAGUAAUCGUAGAUCAGCUACGCUACGGUGAAUACGUUCUCGGGUCUUGUACACACCGCCCGUCAAACCAUGGGAGCUGGUAAUGCCCGAAGUCGGUUUAUAAAGAAACUGCCUAAGGCAGGACUGGUGACUGGGGUUAAGUCGUAACAAGGUAUCCCUACGAGAACGUGGGGAUGGAUUACCUCCUUUCUA